rnacentral:piRNA from 1 species
CACCCUGAGCAGCUCAUCACAGGCAAGG